AUGGGGUUCCUGAAUGCAUAGACAAGCUCGCCCAAGCUGGAAUUAAGAUCUGGGUUUUGACAGGAGACAAAAUGGAGACUGCCAUCAACAUUGGUUUUGCUUGUAGUUUGCUUAGACAAGGAAUGAAUCAAAUUAUAAUCACUUUGGAGACUCCAGAUAUUCAAGCAUUGGAAAAAGCAGGAGAUAAGACAGCCCUUACAAAGGCAUCAAAAGAAAGUGUUCUACAUCAAAUAAUUGGAGGAAAAGCUCAAAUCGCUGGAUCAAAUGGAGGCGCUGAUGCAUAUGCAUUGAUCAUUGAUGGGAAAUCACUUACUUAUGCUUUAGAGGAUGAUAUGAAGGGCAUGUUUCUAGAGCUUGCAGUUGGUUGUGCCUCUGUGAUUUGCUGCCGUUCAUCACCAAAACAGAAGGCACUGGUCACUAGACUAGUGAAAGAGGGAACUGGAAAAACAACUUUGGCAGUUGGUGAUGGUGCCAAUGAUGUGGGUAUGCUGCAAGAAGCAGAUAUUGGAGUUGGAAUCAGUGGUGUUGAAGGAAUGCAGGCUGUUAUGUCGAGUGAUGUUGCAAUUGCUCAGUUUCGGUAUUUGGAGCGUUUGCUACUUGUGCAUGGACACUGGUGUUACAGGAGGAUCUCAGCAAUGAUAUGCUACUUCUUCUACAAAAACAUUACAUUUGGCUUCUCUCUGUUCUUAUAUGAAGCGUUUGCAUCAUUCUCAGCGCAGCCUGCAUACAAUGAUUGGUUUAUGUCCCUGUAUAGUGUCUUCUUCACAUCACUUCCUGUGGUUGCUAUGGGUAUUCUUGACCAGGAUGUACCUGCAGCGUCUGCCCUCAAGUUUCCUCAAUUGUACCAAGAAGGGGUACAAAAUGUACUAUUCAGCUGGCGCCGAAUACUCAGUUGGAUGUUUAGUGGCUUCUAUAGUGCUGUUAUCAUUUUCUUCUUCUGCACAAAAGCAUUGGAACACCAAGCAUUCAAUGAUGAUGGAAAAACAGUUGGAAGGGACAUCUUAGGAGCAACAAUGUACUCAUGCAUUGUGUGGGCUGUGAACUUGCAAAUGGCACUCUCAAUUAGUUAUUUCACCAUAAUACAGCAUGUUUUAAUCUGGGGUUCUAUUGCUUUGUGGUACAUUUUUCUCUUGAUCUAUGGAUCCAUAACUCCCACAGCUUCUGGCAAUGCUUACCAGAUCUUUGUUGAAGCACUUGCCCCAGCGCCUACUUACUGGGUGCUUCUACUAUUUGUGGUGAUCUCUACUCUAAUCCCAUAUUUCUCAUUCUCAGCAAUUCAAAUGCAGUUCUUUCCCAUGUACCAUCAAAUGAUACAGUGGAUGAAUUAUGAGGGCCAAUCAAAUGAUGCUGAGUACUGUGAUAUGGUGCGGCAAAGGUCAAUUCGACCAACAACGGUGGGUUUUACAGCUCGUAAAGCAGCACGAUCUAGGCGUUAAAAGAUAAAGAGUUGGAUAACUUAAUACAUUAGCUAUUUGUUAUUGGAAGGCAUCUGUCAGAAGUUUAGUGCUUUGUGAUCUACUCAAAAUCUGAACUCUCCCUGCUGUAUCUGUCUACACUGAAAUCUCAGAGAAAGCCUUUUAUUCCACUGAAAGGUAUGCUGCAAGAAUUAGGACAAUUAGAUCACACUGUAGUUUAGCAUCCUUCAGCAUAGCCUUUUGAGCUCGCAUGUAUUUUUUUUUUUAUGAUUUAGCCUUUUGAU
rnacentral:misc_RNA from 1 species